rnacentral:rRNA from 1 species
UACAGAGGUCUCAAGCGUUGUUCGGAUUCAUUGGGCGUAAAGGGUGCGCAGGCGGCGUGGUAAGUUGAGUGUGAAAUCCCGGGGCUCAACCCCGGAACUGCACUCAAUACUGCCAUGCUCGAGGACUGUAGAGGAGAGUGGAAUUCACGGUGUAGCAGUGAAAUGCGUAGAUAUCGUGAGGAAGACCAGUUGCGAAGGCGACUCUCUGGGCAGUUCCUGACGCUCAUGCACGAAGGCCAGGGGAGCAAACGGG